AGAUGUAUAGGAAAGACUAAACCAUCAUGGAAGUUGGUGUGGGAUUGCCUUUUUUUCAACCUUGUUUGUAAGAUUUCCAUAACCAAGCUCAUAUUAGUCUUCAGUUGGUUGAUCUCUUCCUUCAAUGCAGCUUGGCCUUGCUGGAUUUCUUCCACAGUGGCUUGAGACAUGCUUCUAGUUCUGAGCCUACGUCGGGAAAUCAGCUAGCCGGUUA
rnacentral:lncRNA from 1 species